UACGUAGGGACCAAGCGUUGUUCGGAUUUACUGGGCGUAAAGGGCGCGUAGGCGGCUUAACAAGUCACUUGUGAAAUCUCCGGGCUUAACUCGGAACGGCCAAGUGAAACUGUCAAGCUAGAGUGCAGAAGGGGCAAUCGGAAUUCUUGGUGUAGCGGUGAAAUGCGUAGAUAUCGGAAGGAACACCGGUGGCGAAAGCGGCGCGCUGGACCCCUUCUGACGGCUGAGGCGCGAAAGCCAGGGGAGCAAACGGG
rnacentral:rRNA from 1 species